UGUGUAGGCGGUUCUUUAAGUUUGGUGUGAAAUCUCCCGGCUCAACCGGGAGGGUGCGCCGAAAACUGAAGGGCUUAGAGUGCGGGAGAGGAGAGUGGAAUUCCUGGUGUAGCGGUGAAAUGCGUAGAUAUCAGGAGGAACACCGGUGGUGUAAACGGCUCUCUGGACCGUAACUGACGCUGAGACACGAAAGCGUGGGUAGCAAACA
rnacentral:rRNA from 1 species